rnacentral:lncRNA from 1 species
CCCAGCAUUUCAGGCAGAGCCUCUUCCUUCCACAUCAGAUUGUUUUCACCUUUGUGCCUUCACGGCUGACAGCUGUGUGGAAAAUCCUUCCGCCAAUCUUCCAGGGGUUGAUCUAUUUUUUUCAUUAAGGUCACAAGUAUUAUUUGAUCAGUGAGAACUUCUCUGUCACCCGAAAUUAUACACUCAGCAUUAUCUAUUAUUUCUUUUAAAAUACGGCUCGGCGCCUUGGCUCACGCCUCUAAUCUCAGCACUUUGGGAGGCUGAGACGGGCGGAUCCCUUAAGGUUGGGAGUUUGAGAUAGCCUGGGCAACAUGGUAAAACCUUGUCUGUACUAAAAAAAAAUACCAAAAAAAAAUUAGCCAGGCGUGGUGGGACAUGGGUGUAAUCCCAGCCUCUCGGGAAGCUGAGUGUAGAGAAUCGCUUUAACCUGGGAGGUGGAGGUUGCGGUGAGCCGAGAUCCCGCCACUGCACUCCAGCCUGGGGCAC